AUGAAGCAGAUGUUUGGUCCAGGAACUAGAUUGACUGUCCUAGGCCAGCCCAAGGCUAUGCCCUCAGUCAAUCUGUUCCCACCUUCCUCUGGAGAGCUCAAGACUAACAAGGCCACACUGGUGUGUAUGAUCACUGGGUUCUAUCCAGCUGAUGUGACAGUGAUCUGGAAGGCAGAUGGUAUCCCUAUCACUCAGGGUAUGGAGACUACCCAGCCUUCCAAGCAGAGUGACAACGAGUACAUGGCUAGCAGCUACCUGCUUUUGACAGCAGAAUCAUGGGAAUCUCAUAACAUAUACAGCUGCCAUGUCACUCAUGAAGGGAACACUGUGGAGAAGAGUUUUUCCCGUGCUAAGUGUGCCUAAGUCAUCUGACCUUCAUCUUACUCACAGAGGCUGAGAUUAGAAACAUGUCCAAGUACACCCUUCGUGUUUUAGCCUACCAUAGCCUUUCUCCCACAAUAAAAUAUCCAUUCACAACCUGCAA